rnacentral:sRNA from 1 species
ACCUUCCAGGUUGCAGCCUGACUUGCCAGGCUGAUGGCUGGUGACUUUCGGGUCACCAGCCU